UCUCUCUCUAGAGCAGUGGUAAGAACCAUUUUUCUGCCCAAGGGCCUUUUAGAUAUUUAUAACAUCAUUCGCAGGCCAUACAAAAUUAUCAACUUAAAAAUCAGCCUGAUAUAUUUGGUCAAACAUUUAAUUAACUCACCCCUAAUGCGUUGGCAGGGUCAGACCAAAUUAUUUAAUGGGCCUUAUAUGGCUCACAGGCCAGACACUUCCCACC